AGGAAAAAGAAAAAAGAUGAAGACAACACUGAAUUAAGCUCAGGAAAUUAAGUAUUUUAAACAUCAAAUUUACAUUGAUAAUACAAACCAGUCCUUACAGUUAACAACCCGCAUUGGUUACACUGAGUAAGGGGAGAGAGGGAAAAAAAAGAGAGGUUGAAAAGUACUGAGAAGGAAACAGAAGCAAACUUCUCCUAAGUGGAAUCAGCAGAUCUGCUGCACAGAUCUUGCUGUAGAACUGUUCAUGUUCUCUCUCUGCUUAGGGAAUUUUAAUGUUUUUUAAAGUGAAGGUUAGAAAAUGGCACAUUAUAUGUGUUAUUUAUUUAUUCCCAGAAGUAAUGAAAAGAGGGAAUGCAAACCUCUUCAAAAGCUCUCUUCUGUAUUCAUCAUCACAGGGAAUGCAUUAGGAAAACAUCUACAAUCUGAAGCUACACAAUCAGUGAAAAUCCUACCCAGAAUCUAAUAUUUUCAAAACUUCAAACUUGCAAUACAGCUGCAAGUGCACAGGCAACAGAGUCCUUUCACAGCUGCAGAGAAAGCGAUAACCAGAAGUGAAUUCACUUGCGCAGGUAACACAUUUUUGUCCUGUCUCAUUAAUCUGUGUUCUUAUUUCUAAGCCAUUACCAAGACUCUUGGUUGCCAUUUUGUCACCAGCAAGGGCACAAGAAAAAGAGAACUUUGUGAUUCAUUCCAGGGCAAGAAAGAGAUCCUGCUGCUCAAAAAGAACAGAAGUAAAAUGAAAAGGUGAUUCGUGUAUGCUGCCAUCCUUGUCAGACAAUUGACAUCAACAGCUCUCAAAAGCAGAAGAAUUGCAAAUCUGUAUUGAAGUCAGGUAUUCUGAGGAUGAGAAUCAAAGGGAUUGAUUGACAGAAAUCUGCAGCACUUUUUGCUUUUCCAUGACAGACCAACAUUUAAGAGAAACACCACCCAGUUCACAGCAUAGCUUAUCUUUUCAUCUUCAAGUCAAAAACCACUACAGUGUCAGGUAUAAUAAAUCCUUACACCUCAAAGCACAUUAGAAAGCCAGUUGGAGUUGCUUUAAAUUAGAAGUGCACCACACAUUUUGGUUCAUUUUCCCUGACCACACAUGAGGAAGAAACAAGCACCAUGUCCCCAGAAAAGAUGGGGUGAGGGACAGCCCCCAAAGGAAGCAGCUUCAGCCAGGCAUUAAGUAAAUACUGUUUGCCUUUAUCUGCUGCAAAGGUCCUGUGGCACUGGGUUCUGGCAUGAGAUGGUACAGGAAGCAUUUGGAAGAAAGUGAGAAUCUGCAACCAAAAAUUCUAUUUAGAGAAUGCAACACAGAGCUUUAGAUUUGAACUAGGCCUUCAAGGUAUGGCAAUGGGGGGGAAGUCAGGUUGAACAGUCUAAGUCUCUACUCCGUCAAUAAAUCCAAGCCAGCCCAGGAACCACACUGUUCUUUGUUAACUUUAGAUGGUAUAAAAUCAACUUGCUAUACUUCACACUGGUUUGUGUUUGUUUGGGGGUUUUUUCCUGCAUCUGAGUAGUUACAGUAACUAGGAUUCUCGGUAUGUCAAAGAACUAUCUCUAACCUAAGUUCAUUGCAUAUGAUGUGCUUCAACAAAGGCACUUUAAUUGAAGUUCAGAAAACAAAACAAAAAAAAUCUGAUUUUAUUUGCACCCUUCACCCUUCCCAGGGCCAGCUGUACUUAUUUUUAAUGAUCCAAGUCUGUCUAUUGCUUUGCAGUUGUUUCCAUCAGAAGAACUUCUCUGAUGUUGGAUUAUGUAAAGCUUCAGCCUAAGGAAGAUGGGUUUUCCAAAGCUAUGUCCCAAAUACAAGUACAAUAGAUGACAAAUGUUCUUUUUAUUUUAAAAACAUACAAAAAUAUACCACACAGUUAAAUGCAUUUCUCUUUUACCAUACAGAUUUAGACAAUAAAAUAUGGUUAAAAAAAAUCCUGAAUUGACAAAAUAUGAAUCAGCUGUCAAAUAAACAUAUGGUCAACCUGCAAGUACAAAUACUUUUGUGAAGUGUCUACAUCAAAAAUUAAGGAACCCAAAAAUCAAGUAGAAUCCACCUCUAAGACCCUUCCCAACACCAUUAGAAACAACUUAGAAGCAAUUAUUUGUAUUUACUAGAGAUUUUUUGAAGAGUCCUCUACGUUUUCUUCAAAUUAGAAAUUCGAUUCUUAAUGUUUGAAAUUAUUUAUGAAACUGUAAAAUAAACACGUGAUUUACUUAACCUAUUUGAAGUAUUCUGUUGACCAAAGCUCCCAAGCCCUUGGAGAAAACUGGCUCAUGUAGCAACUGUGGCAGCUUACCUGGCAUGCAAAAAUCUAAAUCCACAAAAAAAAAAAAAAAGCUUCCUAUUAUGUGCUUGGACUGUAUUUUCUCAAUGAAUCCUAAGAGAAACAGCAAAAGUUUCUUUCUUCCUGUAGGUAUCUUCAACCUGAAGUUCAGGAAAGAUUAACCCCUCCUAGUAUUUUCUGGCCCUGAACACAAAGUAAAUAAUGAAACUCUGAGUGCUUGUAAUUUAGAAUCCAGUGGUGCCAAAAAGGCCUCUUAAAUUCUGAAAUCAACAUGGAAAAAAAAAUUAAAUUCCAGUAAAGUGUAAAAGCUGUAUGGGGAAAACCCAUUAUUGCUGGAUAGCCCUUGGAUAAGCAAGCAGGUAUACUUUCUCCUCACCCAAAGAAAACCUGAAUUCAGAAGUAGCAGCAUUUUCAAGCCUUCCCAUCUCUUCAGCACUGAAAAGCAGCAUCACCUGAGUGCUGCUGAACACAAACAGGAGCAACAGAGAGAACUUUUAGUGUCAAACCCUUUAUAACUAAUUUUAUUUGACAAAUCAGUUAUAUAGGGAACAUUUUGUAAUAUGUUUGAAAAGCAACUAAGUGUUUUCUUCAUGACAGCAUAAAGAGCAAUUUAACCAGGAGUUUGUCUGGAGCAAAGAAUUAACCAGUCUGUCAAGUAUUUAUCCCAAACUUCUUUACAUAUUUCAUACAUCACAAGUCUUGGCUUCUUCUAGCAACAGGAAAUAAGGGCAGGCCUAGCCUGUUCCAAGGUUCUACCUACUCUCUAAGCUCAGACAGCCCAACUAUUUUGAACAUCUCUGGCUAAUCAUUUUCCUUAGACAGCAAAAGCAUGUUUACA